UGCCAUCCGCCGCGGUAAUACGAAGGGUGCUAGCGUUGUUCGGAAUUACUGGGCGUAAAGAGCAUGUAGGCGGAUGAAUUAGUCAGAGGUGAAAGCCCCGAGCUCAACUUGGGAACUGCAUUUAAUACUGGGUGACUAGAGUAUGGGAGAGGGCAGUGGAAUUUCCGGUGUAGCGGUGAAAUGCGUAGAUAUCGGAAGGAACACCAGUGGCGAAGGCGACUGCCUGGCCUGAUACUGACACUGAGGCGCGAAAGCGUGGGUAGCAAACAGGAUUAGAUA
rnacentral:rRNA from 1 species